CUUAUAUUCUGUAGCAAGGUUAACCGUAUAGGGGAGCCGAAGGGAAACCGAGUCUUAACUGGGCGUUAAGUUGCAGGGUAUAGACCCGAAACCCGGUGAUCUAGCCAUGGGCAGGUUGAAGGUUGGGUAACACUAACUGGAGGACCGAACCGACUAAUGUUGAAAAAUUAGCGGAUGACUUGUGGCUGGGGGUGAAAGGCCAAUCAAACCGGGAGAUAGCUGGUUCUCCCCGAAAGCUAUUUAGGUAGCGCCUCGUGAACUCAUCUUCGGGGGUAGAGCACUGUUUCGGCUAGGGGGUCAUCCCGACUUACCAACCCGAUGCAAACUGCGAAUACCGAAGAAUGUUAUCACGGGAGACACACGGCGGGUGCUAACGUCCGUCGUGAAGAGGGAAACAACCCAGACCGCCAGCUAAGGUCCCAAAGUCACAGUUAAGUGGGAAACGAUGUGGGAAGGCUCAGACAGCCAGGAUGUUGGCUUAGAAGCAGCCAUCAUUUAAAGAAAGCGUAAUAGCUCACUGGUCGAGUCGGCCUGCGCGGAAGAUGUAACGGGGCUAAACUGUGCACCGAAGCUGCGGCAGCGACGCUUAUGCGUUGUUGGGUAGGGGAGCGUUCUGUAAGCCUGCGAAGGUGUCCUGUGAGGGAUGCUGGAGGUAUCAGAAGUGCGAAUGCUGACAUAAGUAACGAUAAUGCGGGUGAAAAGCCCGCUCGCCGGAAGACCAAGGGUUCC
rnacentral:rRNA from 1 species